AGCCGCAGCUGCUCACCUCAUAGAGAAUACAAUUAAUACUUCAGAGAACAGCAUUGUGCUCAAUUCUAGAAAACAGAGAAACUUAAACCUUUAAUAAAGGAAUUACAUUUGUAUGUCAGUAAUUGUCUGCCUACCACCACAUUUAUUCCUUUUGAUAGUCACAUCACAAAUUGUUCAGAAAGUGUUCAGUUAUCUUGGUAAGACAUUUAAAAAUCUAACAACACAAUACAGAGGUGUGAGCUCAUUCAUGUGUUUUGAUAUUUUAUUUCUUUGUAAUGAAUGCUUUAGUGAGGAUCUGAACACAAGAGUAUUUAAGUGAUUAU